rnacentral:rRNA from 1 species
CCUACGGGGGGCAGCAGUGAGGAAUAUUGGUCAAUGGCCGUAAGGCUGAACCAGCCAAGUCGCGUGAAGGAAGAAGGAUCUAUGGUUUGUAAACUUCUUUUAUAGGGGAAUAAAGGUAUCCACGUGUGGAUAUUUGCAUGUACCCUAUGAAUAAGCAUCGGCUAACUCCGUGCCAGCAGCCGCGGUAAUACGGGGGGUGCAAGCGUUGUCCGGAAUCAUUGGGCGUAAAGCGUUCGUAGGCGGCAAGGUAAGUCUGAUGUUAAAGCCCGGGGCUCAACUCCGGUUCGGCAUUGGAUACUAUCUAGCUAGAAUGUGGUAGAGGUAAAGGGAAUUCCUGGUGUAGCGGUGAAAUGCGUAGAUAUCAGGAGGAACAUCGGUGGCGAAAGCGCUUUACUGGACCAUUAUUGACGCUGAGGAACGAAAGCCAGGGGAGCAAAUGGGAUUAGAUACCCGGGUAGUC